GGGUUUGCUGAUCCCCUUCAUAGCUAUCUGCAAUUUCACUGUUUCAUAUGGGUACUACUGCAGUUAUAGCUUAUAUACUUUCUUCCACUGGUCUCCAUCUUAAUAGAGCAUCAGCUGCAAUUUUUUUUCUCUUUUUUAUAUUAUAUAGUAUAUAUAGUCCAAUCCCAUGAGUUUCAUCAUUCCCUUCUGCUAGAUGGCUAUAGUGAUCUUCUACUUUAAUAGGUA
rnacentral:lncRNA from 1 species